UACGUAGGCAGCGAGCGUUGUUCGGAGUUACUGGGCGUAAAGGGUGCGUAGGCGGUUGUUUAAGUUUGGUGUGAAAUCUCCCGGCUCAACUGGGAGGGUGCGCCGAAUACUGAAUGACUAGAGUGCGGGAGAGGAGAGUGGAAUUCCUGGUGUAGCGGUGAAAUGCGUAGAUAUCAGGAGGAACACCGGUGGUGUAGACGGCUCUCUGGACCGUAACUGACGCUGAGGCACGAAAGCGUGGGUAGCAAACAGG
rnacentral:rRNA from 1 species